GUUUCCGUGGUGUAGUGGUUAUCACGUUAAGCCUAACACGCGAAAGGUCCCCGGUUCGAGACGGGGCGGAAACA